UACGUAGGGGGCGAGCGUUGUCCGGAAUCAUUGGGCGUAAAGCGCGCGUAGGCGGCCCGGUAAGUCCGUUGUGAAAGUCAAAGGCUCAACCUUUGAAUGCCGAUGGAUACUGCCGGGCUAGAGUCCGGAAGAGGCGAGUGGAAUUCCUGGUGUAGCGGUGGAAUGCGCAGAUAUCAGGAGGAACACCAAUGGCGAAGGCAGCUCGCUGGGACGUGACUGACGCUGAGACGCGAAAGCGUGGGGAGCAAACAGG
rnacentral:rRNA from 1 species